rnacentral:tRNA from 1 species
GCCUCCUUAGCUCAGUUGGUAGAGCAUCAGUCUCAUAGUAGUGCGCUGAGUGUCAUCAGUUCGAUCCUGAUAGGGGGCA